ACAUGGCUCAGGGUGAACGCUAGCUACAGGCUUAACACAUGCAAGUCGAGGGGCAGCAUGGUCUUAGCUUGCUAAGACUGAUGGCGACCGGCGCACGGGUGAGUAACACGUAUCCAACCUGCCGUCUACUCUUGGACAGCCUUCUGAAAGGAAGAUUAAUACAAGAUGGCAUCAUGAGUCCGCAUGUUCACAUGAUUAAAGGUAUUCCGGGUAGACGAUGGGG
rnacentral:rRNA from 1 species